rnacentral:rRNA from 1 species
AAAUUGAAGAGUUUGAUCAUGGCUCAGAUUGAACGCUGGCGGCAGGCCUAACACAUGCAAGUCGAACGGUAACAGGAAGAAGCUUGCUUCUUUGCUGACGAGUGGCGGACGGGUGAGUAAUGUCUGGGAAACUGCCUGAUGGAGGGGGAUAACUACUGGAAACGGUAGCUAAUACCGCAUAACGUCGCAAGACCAAAGAGGGGGACCUUCGGGCCUCUUGCCAUCGGAUGUGCCC